GGGGGUGUAGCUCAUUUGGUAGAGCGCUCGCUUUGCAUGUGAGAGGCACUGGGUUUAAUUCCCUGCACCUCCA
rnacentral:tRNA from 1 species